UACAGAGGUCUCGAGCGUUGUUCGGAUUCAUUGGGCGUAAAGGGCGCGUAGGCGGCGGGGUAAGUCUGGUGUGAAAUCUCGGAGCUCAACUCCGAAAUUGCACUGGAUACUGCUCUGCUAGAGGGCUGGAGAGGAGAUCGGAAUUCACGGUGUAGCAGUGAAAUGCGUAGAUAUCGUGAGGAAGACCAGUGGCGAAGGCGGAUCUCUGGACAGCUCCUGACGCUGAGGCGCGAAGGCUAGGGGAGCGAACGGG
rnacentral:rRNA from 1 species